rnacentral:rRNA from 1 species
AUUGAACGCUGGCGGCAGGCCUAACACAUGCAAGUCGAGCGGAUGAAGGGAGCUUGCUCCUGGAUUCAGCGGCGGACGGGUGAGUAAUGCCUAGGAAUCUGCCUGGUAGUGGGGGAUAACGUCCGGAAACGGGCGCUAAUACCGCAUACGUCCUGAGGGAGAAAGUGGGGGAUCUUCGGACCUCACGCUAUCAGAUGAGCCUAGGUCGGAUUCGCUAGUUGGUGGGGUAAAGGCCUACCAAGGCGACGAUCCGUAACUGGUCUGAGAGGAUGAUCAGUCACACUGGAACUGAGACACGGUCCAGACUCCUACGGGAGGCAGCAGUGGGGAAUAUUGGACAAUGGGCGAAAGCCUGAUCCAGCCAUGCCGCGUGUGUGAAGAAGGUCUUCGGAUUGUAAAGCACUUUAAGUUGGGAGGAAGGGCAGUAAGUUAGUACCUUGCUGUUUUGACGUUACCAACAGAAUAAGCACCGGCUAACUUCGUG